UACGAAGGGGGCUAGCGUUGCUCGGAAUGACUGGGCGUAAAGGGCGCGUAGGCGGAUUGCUUUGUCGGGCGUGAAAUUCCAGGGCUCAACCUUGGGACUGCGUUCGAGACGGGUGAUCUUGAGUGGGGAAGAGGGUCGUGGAAUUCCCAGUGUAGAGGUGAAAUUCGUAGAUAUCGGGAGGUACACCUAUGGCGAAGGCAGCUCGCUGGGACGUUACUGACGCUGAGACGCGAAAGCGUGGGGAGCAAACAGG
rnacentral:rRNA from 1 species